rnacentral:rRNA from 1 species
GAGAGAUUCAUCGUCAUUCCGCGGCGUACGGGCUGCGCGUUUCGAUGUCGUCGGCCUCGGUCGUCAGGCACGACGCGCGUCCGUCGACGUCCGCGGACGGCGUGCACUUCUCUCUUAGUAAAUACAUCGCGACCCGUUCGAUGUCGGUCUAAGCGCCGUUCGGGAGCCCCAUGGUCCCUUAACGGGGUCUGUGGGACCGCGACGGUGGCCGACCGGCCGUCGGACGGUAGUUCUGACGAAACGCGCACGCGUUUACAACGCGUCCGGCCCGACGCAAGUCAACGUCGUAUCCAACGUACCGCCUCAGUGCGGACGUAGGUGCGGCGCGUCUGCUGUUGCCGCCGUGCAGUCUCGGAC